AACGAACGCUGGCGGCAUGCCUAACACAUGCAAGUCGAACGAGACCUUCGGGUCUAGUGGCGCACGGGUGCGUAACGAGUGGGAACCUGCCCUUAGGUUCGGAAUAACUCCCCGAAAGGGGUGCUAAUACCGGAUAAUGUCUUCGGACCAAAGAUUUAUCGCCUUUGGAUGGGCCCGCGUUGGAUUAGCUAGUUGGUAGGGUAAAAGCCUACCAAGGCGACGAUCCAUAGCUGGUCUGAGAGGAUGAUCAGCCACACUGGGACUGAGACACGGCCCAGACUCCUACGGGAGGCAGCAGUGGGGAAUAUUGGACAAUGGGCGAAAGCCUGAUCCAGCAAUGCCGCGUGAGUGAUGAAGGCCUUAGGGUUGUAAAGCUCUUUUACCCGGGAUGAUAAUGACAGUACCGGGAGAAUAAGCUCCGGCUAACUCCGUG
rnacentral:rRNA from 1 species